rnacentral:misc_RNA from 1 species
AAAAAUAAAAAAAAACACUUGCCCAAUAUUUGCUUCUCCAGCAUGCUCCACAAACUCAUUAAACAACUUAAAUGUCUUCUAUCUAGUUUUUGUAAUCAAUGAUGCAUCAAUUAUUUUACAAACAUAGUUCCUAUUGGCAAUUAACUAAGAAAUUGUUAAAUGUCCUAUUAGUUUUGCUUUUCCACUCAUUUGACAUAAUGGAACAACCAUGCCUAAACAUCUUUGUGACUCUGUAAUAAAUUGUUCACAUAAUUUGUUUCUUUCUUCAAAAUUCAAACUCUUAAUGCAUGAUAGCUGGGAGGCUCAAAUUUGGACCAUCUUGCCCAAUAGCACUAUCCCUUUA